rnacentral:rRNA from 1 species
GUCCACGCCGUAAACGAUGAGUGCUAGGUGUUGGGGGUUUUGACCCCCCAGUACCGCAGCUAACGCGUUAAGCACUCCGCCUGGGGAGUACGGCCGCAAGGCUAAAACUCAAAGGAAUUGACGGGGCCCGCACAAGCGGUGGAGUAUGUGGUUUAAUUCGACGCAACGCGCAAAACCUUACCUGGGUUAAAUCCACUUGAACCUGGCAGAGAUGUCGGGGUGCCUUUCGGGAGCAAGUGAGAAGGUGCUGCAUGGCUGUCGU